GUGUGAUAGCCAUGUCCUGGUGCGCACAGUAACUGCUGACCAUCUUUCUCUUCUGUUUCCCAUGUGUCAGAGCUUGGACCUCCCUGGACAAUGGAGUACUUCCCCAUCAGGAGCUGCCACCUUGUCUUUCAGAACAGGUCUGGGAUGUUCUACCUGCCACUGCAUGCUGUUACGUUAAAACCAACAUCUGGUGCAACUGGACCAUCUGGGCAGGCCCCCAGAAGCACAUUGUCAUCUACAUCCAGGGGCUCCAUGGGAGCGAUGGCUGCGGCAAGAACCAGGACAGGAUCAUCUUCCAGGGGAUCUCAUCGAGUGUGGAAACCAAAGUGGUGUAUGCCUGUCAAAACCGAGGCACUCUGAUCUUUGCUACACAAGCUGCUGCAGUCCAUGUGUUGUUUCUGUCAGGGAAUGGUUCCCUAAGGCAUGAAUACAGAUCUUUUAAAGGACAGUAUUAUGUGUUCAGAGACUCUGAAACCAUGGGCUCUUCAAAUGACACCAUAGCUACCAGAGAGCCUGUCCAGGAGACCUCUAAGAAAGAGGGCUGGAAGACAGCAGUGACAAAAGGUCUAUUGCCCAUGCUGAGAGCCUCUGCAAGCCCAUCAGCUACACCUGUUGGUGGCAGGACCCAGCCUGAGCUUGUGAGCACAGAUGAAGAGACCCAACACUCUCCUGAUCUUAGGGAAGAUGCUCAGUAUGGUGCUAACCUCAGUACCCCUUCCUCAGAGGUGCCCAGCAGCAGUGCAGGUCUCCUUGUCAAAUCAUGUAUCCUGGAUGAGGCCAGCAGCAGCCUGUCAGAUGGAGUGGCUGCUGCUGCAUGUCUCACACAGACACCAGCGCUGGAAGAGCCACUGCUAAACACAAGUACAAAGCCUCCUGUCUACCCCUCUCCUGGUGUGAAUGCUGGAGAUGCAGUGUCUCUGGGAGAAAGCAUGGAAGAGCUCUUUGAUCUGGCUUCUGUCCUGGCAUCUCUGGAGAACAGCACAGCACUGCAAUCCCAGCACCAUCCCGGAGUAGAUAUGCUGUUUGAAGUAACUGUUGAAAUCAAACCCAAGGACUGGAUUUCUCAUGGUGGAAGUGAGCUCCAAAAGGGUCUUCUCGAAUCUAUGAAGAACCAUAUCCAGGAGAACCUGAAACUUCCUGCCAGCAGAGUCAAUGAACUAAAGCUAAAAGAAAUCAAAAGGACAAGUGAUGCCAACCUGCUGCUCACCUUCUGGCUGCAUCUGAAGCUGGAGGAGAGGAACAUGUCUCUGCUCCUGCACUCCCAGCUGGAGGAGCUCCUUGGCUCCUCAGCAGGAGCAGAGAAGCUGCAUCUUGUUUCACUAUUUGUUGAAGAUGUGAAUGAGUGCAGUGCUGGGGUUGGACUCUGCGGGGAGGAGGCAGAGUGCUUCAAUGGUGUGGGCACGUACCUCUGCCGCUGCAAGAAGGACUAUGAAGACCAUUCCCCCACCAAGUCUGGCACCCUCUGCAUCCCUGCUGCACAAUCAGGGAUCAGCUCCUUCCUCCGCCACGGCGACAUCCUGGUGGGUGCAGCCAUCACAGCUGCCCUGUCGAUGCUGGUGGCUGCAGGUGCCCUGUGCAGGGCAGCCAUGCGGAGCCGGCAUCGCAGGAGGAGCCUGAGCCCUGAGGAGCCCUCAGCGAGGGCUGCGGAGGAGCCGGCGAUGGAGCUGCAUGACCUGGGGCAGUGCCUGCGCCUCGACCCCUUCCAGCUGAAGCUUCGAGCCAGGGUCCCUGAGUGGCUCUGGACUGCCCGGGUCCACCCUGCCCAGGAGUACCGGGUGUUCCUGGAGCAGUCCCCCCAGCUCUGAGGGGUCCUAGGGCUCCUUCAAGCCCCUUUAUGGCCCUGGUGACCUGUGCUGUCACUCCUGCCUUCCCCAGCUGACACAAGCCACUGGCUGUGUGAAUGAACCCUUCUGGUGUGUUUUAUGGACCAUAAAUGUCCCACCACAGUCUUCCUCGUCUUGUAGUUUAAUUUUUAAUACUCACCUAGCUUGGAAAACAAAGUGCGUGUUCCACACUGCUGUGCAUCUUCUCCUGACUUAACCUGUAUGACAGUGGUGUAGAGCUGUAAGUACAUGGAAAUUAAACACUUUUUUAAGGAAAAAAAAAGGGCAAAUAAGAUAUUUUGGUGUUUAAGAG
rnacentral:lncRNA from 14 species